UUUUAUUUUAUAUUUUUUAUCCCACCCCAAUGUUUUGUGUUUUAUUUUAUAUUUUGUGUUUUAUUUUAUGUUUUGUGUUUUAUUUUAUAUUUUUUCCCCCCACCCUGACAUUUUGUGUUUUAUUUUAGGGUUUUCCACCCACUUUUGGGGUUUUCCCAAAGUUUUUCCCGGAAGUUUCGUUGCCGUGUCCGGAGGGGAAAGUUCUGGAAUGUCCUGAAUUGCUGGGGGACGUUAUUUAAUUAGGGAAUAAAUGUUAAUUAAUGAUUCAUCAGGAAUUGGUUAUUGAUUAAUGAGCUGCCACCACCCAAACCCUUCACCCCAAAAAUCCAAACCCUUCAUCCCAAAAUCCAAAUCCCAAAAUCCAAAUCCCAAAAUCCAAAUCCUUCAUCCCAAAAUCCAAACCCUUCACCCCAAAAUCCAAAUCCCAAAAUCCAAACCCUUCAUCCCAAAAUCCAAAUCUCAGAUUCCAAAUCCUUCACCCCAAAAUCCAAACCCUUCAUCCCAAAAUCCAAAUCCCAAAAUCCAAAUCCUUCACCCCAAAAUCCAAAUCCUUCAUCCCAAAUCCCCAAAUCCUUCAUCCUAAAUUUUGAAAUCUCCCAUCCCAAAUUCCUGAAUCUUUUAUCCCAAAUCCUUGAUCCAAAAAUCCCAAAUCCUUUACCUCUAAUCCCCCAAAUCCCCCAAACCCUUCAUCCCAAAUUCCUGAUCCCAAAUCCUCAGAUCCUUCAUCCCAAAUCCUUUACCCCAAAUCCCCCAAACCCUUCAUCCCAAAUUCUUGAUCCAAAAUUCCCAAAUUCCUCAUUCCAAUUCCCCCAAAUCUCCCAUCCCAAAAAUCCCCAAAUCCCAAAUCCCCAAAUCCCUCAUCCCAAAUCCCCAAACCCUUCCUCCAAAAUCCCAAAAUCCUUGAUCCAAAAUCCCAAAAUCCUUGAUCCAAAAAUUCCAAAUCCCAAAUCCCAAAUCCCCCAAAUCCUUCAUCCCAAAUUCCCAAAUCCUUCAUCCCAAAUUCCCAAAUCCUUGACUCCAAAUUCCCAAAUCUUUUAUCCCAAAUUCCCAAACCCUUCCUCCAAAAUCCCAAAAUCCUUGAUCCAAAAAUCCCAAAUCCCCCAAAUCUUUUAUCCCAAGUUCCUAAAUCCCCCAUCCCAAAUCCUUGACUCCAAAUUCCCAAAUCUUUGAUCCAAAAUUUCCCAAACCCUUCAUCCCAAAUCCCCAAAUCCUUCCUCCAAAAUCCCAAAAUCCUUGAUCCAAAGAUCCCAAAUCCCAAAUCCCCCAAAUCCUUCAUCCCAAAAUCCCAAAUCCCUCAUCCCAAAUCCCAAAAUCCUUGAUCCAAAAAUCCCAAACCCUUCAUCCCAAAUCCCCCAAAUCCUUGAUCCGAACUUCCCCAAUCCUUUAUCCCAAAUGCCCCAAAAUCUGUACCCCAAAAUCCAAAAUCCUUCACCUCAGAUCCCCCAAAUCCUUCAUCCCAAAUCCCCAAAUCUUUUAUCCCAAAUUCCCCAUCCCAAAUUCCCAAAUCCUUCAUCCCAAAUCUCCCAUCCUAAAUUCCCAAACCCUUCAUUCCAAUUCCCCCAAAUCUCCCAUCCCAAAAAUCCCCAAACCCU
ensembl:lncRNA